GUUGUCUGCCAACGCUAACUGGCCAGCUCUGACAGGAGGUGCGUGGCCCAGGAGGAGCCAUCAGGCCAGUUCUCUGGGAUACUGCUGUGUCUCCAGCUCUGCAGUUUGCUCUGCAUCACUCAGCGGCAGACGGAGAGGCAGACACGAGCCCCUUGUGAGCCCUCCUCCUUACCGUCAUCCCACAAUGCUCUGAAAUAAGGAGGCAAAUGGCUGAGGUCCCCUCAGUUGUAGAUGUGAUUGAGUUCUAUCUACCAGAAGCAUAUGCCUCCUGGAAGCCUGGUUCUAACACCUCCCACAAAAUCCUUCAAGCGCUUUUUUCUGUUCCAAUGUUUGCUUAUGGGGGACCCAGUGAAGUGCUUCAGAGCCCUAGAGAUAUGCUGAGUCAUAUGAGGGGUCAGCAAACUUUUCCUGUAAAGGGUCAGAUAAUAAACAUUUUAAGCUUUGUA
rnacentral:lncRNA from 1 species